UACGUAGGUGGCAAGCGUUGUCCGGAUUUACUGGGCGUAAAGGGCGUGCAGGCGGUUUGUUAAGUGCAGAGUGAAAGCUCCCGGCUCAACUGGGAGAGGUCUUUGCAUACUGGCAAACUCGAGGGAGGCAGAGGAAAGUGGAAUUCCCGGUGUAGUGGUGAUAUGCGUAGAUAUCGGGAGGAACACCUGUGGCGAAGGCGGCUUUCUGGGCCUUACCUGACGCUGAGACGCGAAAGCUAGGGGAGCAAACGGG
rnacentral:rRNA from 1 species